CUAGCCGUAAACAAUGGGCACUAGGUGUUGUCGGUAUCGACCCCGGCAGUGCCGAAGCUAACGCAUUAAGUGCCCCGCCUGGGGAGUACAGCCGCAAGGCUAAAACUCAAAGGAAUUGACGGGGGCCCGCACAAGCAGCGGAGCGUGCGGUUCAAUUCGAUGGUACGCGAAGAACCUUACCCAGGCUUGACAUGCAGGUGGUACCGAUCCGAAAGGGGAGGGACCCGCAAGGGAGCCUGCAAUGGUGUUGCACGGCUGUCGUCAGCUCGUGUCGUGAGAUGUUGGGUUAAGUCCCGCACCAAGCGCCUCCAUCGCGGCCUGUUGUAUCCCCCCUGCCGGAAUGGCGAGAGAAACUAAAGACGAAGGAUCCCUGCAAGUUUACCCUUGAUUUGAAACUCUGGG
rnacentral:rRNA from 1 species